ACAUUCGUGGAGACAGAAGAGUCUUGGACCAUGUGCGCAACUGGAGCGUAGGAGUGUGCACUCGUCUUCUCGGAAAGGAAGGCUGGAAAUAACCCUGACAGUGUUAGGCUUGGUGGCGAUCAGGGACAGAUGACUCUUACCGGUAGCCGUUUGCCCAAAUGCUUCUGCCCUUUGGAAGAGUCUUUGUGGCAGUAAUCACUUUUUCUAAGUAUGUCGGAGUGGUUGAGCAGAGAGAAAAAUGAAUACCCUAAGCGAACUAGAAAUCUGGAAAGAACCGAAAUAGAGGCAGUGUCUCAUGACACUUUACUUGAGGACUCACCUGCUGAACUGCUGAUCACUUCUAUAGAUUCCUUCAGCUAACCAGAACUGACUUCAUCAGAGAGUUAUGAUGGAUAAGUCUAUCAGUCUUCUACCUGAAUGCCCCAAGAUAUUGAUGAAGUCAACAAAACAUUGAGCCUCAGAACACAAGAAAUCUUGGACAAACUGGGAGACAGCUUGUCAGUAUCUAAGGUAUUUAUUUAUUCAAAGAAAUGUACAUAAUCUACAGGCAUAAUGUUCCCACAGUAUUAAAUAUUAUAAUAAACUGAAGGUUUC
rnacentral:lncRNA from 1 species